CUACGGGGCGCUCCAGUGGGGAAUAUUGCACAAUGGGUGCAAGCCUGAUGCAGCCAUGCCGCGUGUAUGAAGAAGGCCUUCGGGUUGUAAAGUACUUUCAGCGGGGAGGAAGGGAGUAAAGUUAAUACCUUUGCUCAUUGACGUUACCCGCAGAAGAAGCACCGGCUAGCUCCGUGCCAGCAGCCGCGGUAAUACGGAGGGUGCAAGCGUUAAUCGGAAUUACUGGGCGUAAAGCGCACGCAGGCGGUUUGUUAAGUCAGAUGUGAAAUCCCCGGGCUCAACCUGGGAACUGCAUCUGAUACUGGCAAGCUUGAGUCUCGUAGAGGGGGGUAGAAUUCCAGGUGUAGCGGUGAAAUGCGUAGAGAUCUGGAGGAAUACCGGUGGCGAAGGCGGCCCCCUGGACGAAGACUGACGCUCAGGUGCGAAAGCGUGGGGAGCAAACAGGAUUAGAUACCCUAGUAGUC
rnacentral:rRNA from 1 species